rnacentral:rRNA from 1 species
AUUGAACGCUGGCGGCGGGCCUAACACAUGCAAGUCGAGCGGAGAUGCGGAAGGGUGAGUAAUGCCUAGGAAUCUGCCUGGUAGUGGGCGAUAACGUACGGAAACGUGCCCUAUUACCGCAUACUAUCAGAUGACCCUAGGUCGGAUGAGAUAGUUGGUGAGGUAAAGGCUUACCAAGGCGACGAUCCGUAGGCGACCUGAGAGGAUGAUCAGUCAAACUGGAACUGUGACCCGGUCCAGACUCCUACGGGAGGCAGCAGUGGGGAAUAUUGGGAAAUGGACGAAAGCCUGAGCCAGCCACGCCGCGUGGGUGAAGAAGGUCUUCGGAUUGUAAAGCUCUUUAAGUUGGGAAGCGUUAUCAACAGAGUAAGCACCGGCUAACUUCGUGCCAGCAGCCGCGGUAAUAC